GACGAACCGUGCGAACGUUGUUCGGAAUCACUGGGCUUAAAGGGCGCGUAGGCGGGCUGUCAAGUCUGGGGUGAAAUGCCACGGCUCAACCGUGGAACUGCCUCAGAUACUGACGGCCUCGAGGGAGGUAGGGGCGUGCGGAACUGUAGGUGGAGCGGUGAAAUGCGUUGAUAUCUACAGGAACUCCGGUGGCGAAAGCGGCGCGCUGGACCUCUUCUGACGCUGAGGCGCGAAAGCUAGGGGAGCAAACGGG
rnacentral:rRNA from 1 species